CAGACAAAGCAGGAUUACAUAUUGCGCAUGCCAAAGCACGGCUGUGCAAGACGUAGACUACUACAGAUAUACACACCCCAGGCCCGAGCAUAUAACACUGAGAAUCACCUCCAUAGUAAAGACUUCAAGAUGGGAUCAACUAUGCAUACAGCACAUACAAUCCCAUUCUGCAGACAAUGAAGCGGUAAUACUCAGAUAUGUAUGAUCUCGAUCGACAACACACUUAUUCCUUUCCUUGGAAGCUUCUAGUAGUCGUCGGUGUUGUUCCUGCCCGACCUACUCAUCGGAGCCGGACUUGUUGUAGCCUCCGCUGUAGUCAUCGGUUCCUGACUUGCUGCUGCGGCCAUAGUCAUCGCCGCUGGACUUGUUGUAGCCUCCGUCAUAGUUGUCCGUGCUAGACUUGUUGUAGCCACCGCUGCCAUAGUCGUCAGUGUUGGAGGUGUUCUUACCGCUGCCAUAGUCGUCGGUGCUCGACUUGUUGUAGCCGCUGCCGCCGUAGCCAUCAGUGCUGGAGUUCUUGUAGCCACCAUCAUAGUCGUCAGAGCUUGGCUUCUUGUAUUCGUCGCUGGUGGUGGACUUGCUGUAUCCACCACUGCCACUGUAGUCAUCGGUGCCAGAUUUGUUGUAGUCGCUGCUUAG
rnacentral:lncRNA from 1 species